rnacentral:lncRNA from 1 species
GUUGAACAAACUGCAAAGAUUGAAACCAAGCCUUAAGAUCUUUAGUAAGCCUAUUACUGAUGUGAAGAUUAGCAUUGUGAAGGCUAGAGCAAACCUGCAAACAACCCAGUUAAACAUGUGUAAUGAUAGAUUGAAUACUGAUAAGAUUGAGCUGGUAAAAAAGCAUACAGAAGAGCUCCUUAAUUUGCAAAAACUGGGCUAAAUUGGAUUGGCUUAAGCUUGGUGAUGGUAAU